rnacentral:lncRNA from 1 species
AAUCUCCUGUUCAUGCACCUGCGAGGGAUCGGAAUCAACAAAGAAAUUGGGCGUUUGGAUGACAGAUAAUUUGGUGAGAUGGCCUUGGGCGAGUAGAGACAACAAUCCCUCGCCUCUUAAAUCCCCACAGCUGGAUAUGUCUAAACUUGUGAGAGAGGUGAGGUUUGAUAGAGGCAGCAGCACCUCUGUGCCCACUGCUCCCUUAAUCUCAAGGUGUUCCAGGGAGUUGGGGAAGGGGAAAGAAGAAGAGAAGGAUGAAUAAGACGUGUAGGCGGACAGGAGCUUGGGGCAACCCCAGAUUCUCAGCCGUCGGAGGGAGGUUAGACCUUGGAGCCCUCCUCCUCUUCCCCCAGUUCCUCCAUCUUCUUCGUUGCUGUCGUCAUGUGGAUUGGAGCGGAGGAGGCUCAGGUCUGGGCACCUGCCGAUCCACAGGUCCUGCAGUUGGGGAGGCAAAAGCAACAGGCCACGUUCUGCUUCUUCUGAUGCAACUAUUUCGUCCUCUGCUGUUGGGUCCACAUUGUUAGAUGAACAUAAUGGUGCAGUUAUUUCCGUUGCCUGUUGCCCCGUCACACUCAGCCCUGUUAUUUUAGUUGCUGCCAGCAGCAGCAUAUAUGAGAGCCUUGGAAAGUAAGUGAGUAGCUGUGUUAACUCCUUCCCACUAGCAUUCCACUCAUGGAAGGAUAAAUGUUCAACUGGAAACUGGUAUUUGACAUGGCUGUCAGCUUCAACAAAUGAAAAGGCAUUACUCGAACAAGAGAUCUCUAGGGCCCUUAGGGAUGAUAGAAUUUGUAAGCAACUUAGUGGUGGGGGUUGGCACCUCUCCAUCCUCAACGUGUUCAGUCCAGUUAGGCUAUGAAAAUCUAGCACAUUCCAAAUCUUGCUAUGAAUUGUAUCCUUCUUUCUUUCAUAAACAAAAAUUGUAUCCUUUCCCUCUAUUGUCAAAUCAUAUUCAGGACUGAAAAAUCUUUUUUCACAAACAAAUUUAUCAAGACAUGAACUUCCGAUUCCUUCUAUAUUGAUGGUGCAUAGAGCCUUAUUCCAAGGAAUGGGAGGAAAUGAUAGUAGCUGUGGACAUUCCUUGAUCUUGAGCUUCAUGAGCCUAGGAAAUGAAUUUACAUUUGGCUCUUUCCUUUGUUGACAACAAGCCAAAUGUUGAAAGGACAACUCCUCUAGUUGAGAGCAACCACUGAUGAUAAGUACUUCCAAGAAUCGAAACAACUGACAGGGAGCAUGUACAACCCACUUUUUCAACCAUGGUAAGUUUACAAGUUCUAGCCUUCUCAAAUUUUCAAACCUUAUGUUAGGGAUAUUAUCUGAUGUGCCAAGCCUAUUAACUGUCCACAAGUCUCCUAUAGGGGGGUAUGUUUUCCAAGCUACACCAUCUAGGCAGAGAGAUUCCAAACUUUUGAAGGAGAGGUUGGUACCAAGCCAGGAAGGGCAAGUGGUUCCUCUGUGCCCUUUAAUAGAUAACUUUAGAAGAUUGUUGUUUGGCUUAAGCCUUUCAAGAACAUGUUCUUCUAGUGUAUAGUCUAUGGGAGACCGGUCAAUAUUAUCCCAAUGUAAUGUCAACUCUUGUAGUCGGCUUUUUUGCAACAGUUUUGCUUCAUCUACUUCUUCCUUCACGCGAACAUUUUCAAGAUUAUAAAUGCUCAAUGAUCCACAAAGGUGUACCAAAUGUCCUAUCUCCCUUAAUUCAAAACCUUUAUCUUCUUGUUUGACCACAAAUCUUCUUAACUCUUGUAGUGAUUUUAAUUUCCCAACCUCAACAAUACUAGAGUGUGUUGAAUCAUCUUGAACAUGAAAAUGACGCAAUUUUCCAAGGUUGCUCAUAUCUCUUGGUAAAACAUCGAUGUAAGCAUAAUGAUGUGCAUCUAGAACCAUCAUGUGAUAGAAUCUAGAAAGUUUGUUAGGAAAUCUUGCUUCAUAUCGAAAAGAACCUCCAAUCCAAAGGUAGCGAAGAUGGACAAGUUGGUAAAAGUUGUGUAGCAAAUCUUCCACAUUAUAGGAUGUGCCAGAUAGAAAAAUCACACGAAGGGCCUUUGCUUCCCUAAACAAUUCACCAAAAGCUUUCACAAAGCAACCAUGGUGUUCCCCAAAUAUCAUCAAAGUCCGCAGUUUUUCAACUUUUAAUCUUCUACCCAAUGUAUUGAAAUCCUCAACACUAUUUUUGAGAGUCAAUCUAUCCUUGGCACUAGUAGCAUCUAUGUUGAUAGACAAAUGGCGAAUUGAUGGUAGGACUUCUAAUGUGCUCACAUGAGAUUGAGAACUCUCUAUGUUAAGGCAUUCAAGUGAUGAAACUUUCCGUGCCAAUUCAUGUAAGAGAUCAUGAACAAUAUAAAAAGUUUGUCCAUCUUCGUUCACUUUGUUUUCCAAAAAUCCAUAAUUAAACAACUCAGUCAAAUGACUUAGCCCGAUAUCUUCAACUCUUUUAUUUUGACCAUGUAAUGAAUGCAAGACUUCCUGUCCUAUCCAGAAGUUAACUAGCUCUUCUCUUUUGAAUAUGUAAUCUUGAGGAAACAAAGCACAGAAGGAGAAGCACUGCUGAAGCUGAGAAGGCAGGUGAUCAAAGCUCAAUUUCAGUGCAGGCAUAAUGUCAUUCUUGCCACUACUAUGCUCCCAUUCCUUACUUUCUAAGAUUCUAGUCCAGUGAGCCAAAUCAAGUUCGGUUUUCAACAAUCUACCAACAGUUUUUGCUGCAAGAGGGGAGCCCUUUAGUCUACAAGCUAUCUUGAACCCAGUUUCUAGCAAGGAUGUGUGGUCCUUUCUAGAUUGAUCAUCAUCACCAAAGAUAACUUCUAGGAAUAAUUCCUCAAAUUCUUUAUUUUCUAAGCCUUUCAAAUAUAUUGGCUGAUCGUUUUUUCGAACCACUAUUUGUGCUUGUGCUGGAAACCUUGUGGUGACUAUAAUUAUAUUACCCUGUACUUGUGAUUUUUGGAAUGGCACCAGUAGCCGUUUCCAUUCAUCCUCAUCACUGCAGUCCCAUAUAUCAUCUAAUACAAGCAAUAGCCUCUUAUUUUUCAAUCUUUGCCGAAUUAACUCACCAGCAGUACCAUUACUACUUUCACCAUCAAUUUUAGGGAUAUAUCCUUGAAUUUCUUCUAUCAGCUUAUUCACAUUAAAGUUGAGUGAUACACAUGUCCAAACUCUGACAUCGAAAUGGUCUUGCACAUCUGGACUGUGAUAUAUAUGUUGUGCAAGAGUUGUCUUUCCUAUGCCCCCUGGACCAACAAUUGGUAUAACCGUAAGGAUCUCAGUAGAGUGUUUACCCUUUGUAAUAUCAUGUAUGAUGUUAUUCAUUAGAAGGUCCCUCCCAUACAGUUUCUGUUCUAUACUUUGAGAGGUGGUGACAGGACGACUCUGUGCAAUAUUUGGGACAGUGCUCCAAUUUGAACCUAAUGUUGCAAUAAUGCCAGAAACAUCUUGACGCACGAGUCGCAAUUUCUUUACAACAUCCUGCAUUCUUUUGGAGGCAUCCACUCUAUUAAAUCUCAACUUGGGUGGUUCAUUAUCUGUAAUAAGGUUUCUCUGCGGUGAAUUGUUGUGCAUGCCAUAGUCAACUUUGUCACCAUUGUCAUCAUCAGGAUCAGAUGGCAAAGAUGAGCAAGGGAAGCAUUUACCGACAGUGUGGAUGGGGUUGCAGCAAGAUCUGGAGUUGAGCUUUGCCUUGUGUCUGUUGACCCCUUGAUUAGCCUUGGCCUCCGAAGAAGCAGCAGAUGAGAAGCAUGAAGGUAACCAAAUCUGCUUGCCAACAGCUUUUGCAGUGUGACGCACAUUCAGGGCCAGGUUAUGGGUGACACCCUUGGCAUGCUUGUCGGCAGCAUGGAAGGUGCCGUCCAACUCGUCCUGGAUGCGGAAGUAGUCCAGCUCGUCCAGCACAUCCUCGGCAUCAUACCCAAGCUCUUUCAGUUCCUCUAAAAGCUCCUUGAGUGACGAGUUGUCUAUUUCCCUGCCGGCGGUGGGCUCAAGCAGGGCCUUCACGAGUUUUAGCUCUCGCUCGAGGGACUCCACGUUGUCACCGAGCUCCACGCUGGCUGCCCAGUCCUUGAGCAAGCCAUCGGUUAGGGGAGCCAGCGCCUUGCCCACCACCGAAAACGCUGCGCUGACCAUGGCAGUCGCCAUGAUCACGCCGAGGAGAUGUGUGCUUGUGUAGCUGUGCACAGUACGGGACUAUUGGAUCAGAAGAUCUCUUGAGUUUAUUUGAUGGUUCUGCCUGCCUGCAGUCCAGGAGAGAUGAAACCACAAACCACCAUUAGUUAGUGCCACUAAUAACCAAUACUGAUGCUACUUCUGCUGCUCGAGCCAGAGGAGAAAAGGCUAUCUACAUGUUUACUCACCAAGCAGAGGAAGGAGCAGGAUCUGAUCUGAUCUGAUGCUACAAGUUGUUUUGAGGACACACUCGACCGAUGCUUGCAAACUCCUGCGUCAAGACCUCAAGCAAGAUAACUUGACAUGCGAGAAUCAGAAGCUGAGAAUGGAGUCAGAACAUCUGUUGAGUCAGAACAUCCUGCGCACAGGGAGAAGAAACCACCAUCAGUGAGUGUCACUAAUAAGCAAUACUGCUGCCAAAGGAGAAAAAACUGUCUACAAUUUUACUCACCAAGUAGAGAAACGUGCAGGAUCUGAUCUGAUCUGUCCACCCAAGUUGUUUCAAUGUCUGCUUGGUGCUUCUCUUGCGUUUGAUGCUUCUGCGUGCAGUACGGCAGCAGUGGCUCCGAAGGUCUCUAGAGUUUAAUUACUUGCUUCAGCGUGCAGGGAGAGAUGAAACCACCGUUAUCGAGUGCCACUAAUAAGCAAUACUGAUGCUGCUUCUGCUGCGUGCUGCCAGAGCCUGAUCUAGGAGAAAAACUAUCUACAAGUUUACUCACAGAGCAGAGGAAGGAGCAGCCGAGCAGGAUCUGAUGCCCCAAGUUGCUUUGCUUCGAGCACACAAUCGGCGACAGAGUUCAGCCAGGCAAGAGAUCGGAGGAGCUGAUGGCUGAGGAAAUGAGGAGCAAGAGCAAUAAUGCAAUCAUCCACUGCGUCAACGCCAGUCUGUAGGUCGACGGUCACCAUAUGGAAUGGAGCCGCCACCGUUCACGAGCUAUCCUGAGUCUCUGGUCCCGGCAGACAGCGAAAAUGAGCCUUUAGGCACUGUUUAAUUUGGAAAUAAAAAAUUUUUAGAUGUCAUAUCGGAUGCGUUGGAAGGAUGUCGGAAGAGGUUUUUAGAAACUAAUAAAAAAACAAAUUACAUAGCUCGUCUGGAAACUGCAAGACAAAUCUAUUAAGCAUAAUUAAUCUGUCACUAGCACAUGUGGGUUACUGUAGCACUUAAGGCUAAUUAUGAACUAACUAGGCUUAAAAGAUUCGUCUCGCGAUUUUUAACCAAACUGUGUAAUUAGUUUAUUUUUUAUCUACACUUAAGGUUCCAUGCAUGUGUCUAAAGAUAUGAUGGGAUGGCUGAAAAUUUGUUGGGUGAAAAACUAAACAGGGCCAUAAAAAGAAGCGAAAUUAUGUUCGCAAUACAAAAAAAAGUAAUCAGACUACUUCUAGACAUUUACAACUUAUUUAUAUUUGGAUGGGUGCAUAUAAAGGCCUUGAUUAGUUCACUCUAAAAACCAAAAACUUUUUAAGAUUCUCCAUCACAUCAAAUCUUACGGUACAUGAACAUUAAAUAUAUAUAAAAAUAAAAACUAAUUUCACAGUUUGCUUGUAAAUCGUGAGACAAAUUUUUUAAGCCUAGUUACUCCAUGAUUGGACAAUGUUUGUCAAAUAAAAAUGAAAGUACUACAGUGUCAAAAUCUAAAAAAAAUUCGGAUCUAAAGAUGGCCAAAGCUGGGGGGCUCGUAUAUCAACUAGGUCAAAAAAUCAUCGAACCAAAUACAGCUUUGCUGGAAUAGAACAACCAACCAAACAAGCACGCCAUGUUCCUCGUCGCCAUCCAAUACAGUUAGCAGAGAUGCUGGCCACCGUGGGCCUGUUCCUCGUCGCCUCCAGGCUCUCGCUGCCCACCCAUCUAACCACACUAUUAUGUCCUUGUCACCUGUCGCCGUUUCCUGCAAACGUCGUCGAACGGGUGGCUCAAAUGACCAUUGCACCUUUAAGUUAACUGGUGUUCCAACUAUUUUUGUACUACCUCAUCAAGGAUACAACUACGUAUCAGUGUUCGUCAAAGUUAACCAAGCUAGUGAAUAAUAUUUACAUUUAUAUAUCUAAAUUUAUUUAUUAUGAAAAUAUAUUCUAUAAUAAAAGACAUGUAUGGGUGACAAUCUUAUUAAAGUAAGCACUAACGUAGAGAACACACAAAUACACCUCAUCAAUUUAUGUCUGCAUUAUAUUACAAAAACGUGACAAAGUUGAAAUUGUGUAGCUCCCAAACAAAUUGGCUUGUGUGGCCAACUCUAGCUAGACUGAAAAAGGAACAGCAUCUGAGGUUGUGAUCCCAACAGAAGAAUAGGCAGAAACCCAAAACAACUAAAAGGUUUGUAUUUGAGCUUAGGCUGAUAAAUGAGUAUUUUACAGCAAACAUAUUGAGAAGACCAUCUGAUUUUUGUACACUGACAAUGUUGUUUGUGAAACACUACUAUAUAUGGCACCACCACUCAGCUCAGUUGCUCUAAGGAAUAAAAAAAAUAUAAAUAGUGACUUUAAACUGCAAUUAGACGUCACAUGUACAAACACUAGAAAACCAUGAACUUCCACAAAGCUAUGCCAAGUGAAUAGAUAAAAGCUUUAGUUAAGAGAGAGGUGGUGUUAUUAGGGCACAGGACCCAUCACCAACCCCGACCCUGCCUACGCCUCUACGUUCCCAACCCCGACCCUGCCUACGCCUCUACGUUCCCAAGCUUUAGGCCGCCCUCUACUCCUAUGCCUCCAGUCCACGUUCGGGGGCACAGAUGAGUGCGGCAAGGCUGCCUACGUCGUCAAGCUCCUGCCCCCACUCGGGGAUGGGCCUCGUCGGUGGCGGCGCCAACGCGGCGGCCCUGCCUAGGAACGCGCUACCCACCGUCACCUCCCCGGCGGCCGCGAGUCUGGGGCCCUGCUCCCUGCAGCAAGGUGAGCACGGUUCUGCUCCCGGGGUUGAGGCCGAGCUAUUCGGGCCAUCGGUCCUCAUCGAGGAUGCUACAGGCAGCGAGGACGAGGAAGACGUUGUCGACAUGGUUGACGGCGAUGAUGCUGGUGGAGCUGCGUGGGUGUCCGUUCCAUUCCCUGACCAGGGCAUGUGCCAGCCUCGACGCCUUCCCGGUCCACCCAUCUACCCUCCGCUCCAAGUCCGUCGUCCACCUUGUCCCCCAAGGCCUAGCACGGCGGAAUGGACCAGGGCUCGACGUUGGGCAGAUGAGGACCUCACUGAUGCCUCCGAUGCGGAUUCGACGCCAAUCUCCAUGGCGCCCUAUCGGGACGCUAUUCGACAGGGGCCACAGCCAUCAAGGCCUUUAACGCGGGCAGCGCCGCCCCUGCUGCAUGCUCAGCCUCUACCUUUGGGCGGCGGCAAUGCGACGCCAGGCUUCCAGAGCGCUGGCCCAAGGAGGGGGAAGCGUCAUCAUCGGCCACGGCCACAGCUAGUGCACGCCAUGCCACCUCGCCCAGUGGAGGGCCACAUCUCGGCACAUCAGUGCCUCGGCUACCAUCGACGGGUCUCCACCCCUGACGCCGAUGGGUGGCGGGAGAUCCUCCACCGGCAGGUGAAGCGUCCGGCGACCGCCUCGGUUGUGCGUCUCAAGCCUGCUUAUGGGGAUCAGCCAGCAAGUCAUCGACCACCGAGGCAUAUCCCUACCGAUCUGGAUGGCAAGUGCCUCAAUUGCCUCUCAACCUCACACCAAGUGGUCACCUGCAAACUGCCCCAGCGUUGCCUGCAGUGCAAGGGCUUUCGACAUAUCGCGCGUGACUGCAAGUGGCCAAGGCACGCGGGCAAUUCAGUCUGGGCACAAAACCCGAAACCCGAUCCCCGAACCCAAAAAACCCGGACCCGAAACCGAAUUACCUGAACCCGCAGAACCCAAAGUCUAGUUCGGAUUUUGAUUCUCGAAACCCGAUCUUAUUUCGGGUAAAUUGGGUUAGGUAGCCUGGUACGCUAGAACCCGAAAUAAGAGUCUUCCCCGUGGUCGCGUCCCAGAUUUCCCGUGAGACCUCCUCGGGCGCUGCUUUCCUCAUUAAUCGCCAUCUUCAAUCCCCGCCUCCACGAUAGUUGCGUCGCCGCCGACGGCUCCACUCCCCGAGGCCGAGUCGCCUGCCUUCUCUCGCCUCUCUCUCCCUUCAAAAGGCCCGACGAACACGCGAGGCAAUGCUCCUCAUCCGGCUCGCGCCUACAUUCACCUCUACGCCUGCGCCGACACCGGACCCGGCAGAGGCAGAGCGCGACCGCGACCGUGAGAUCCGCGACAACGAGCUGAGCGAGAGCGACUGCGGUGCCGCCAUCACUCCAUCUCCUGUGCCGCUACUUCUCACCUCGUCGUCGGCGGAGAGGAAUUCCAGCGCCUGGGGACCUGCAGAAUCGUGCUCCUCGUGCAAUGUGAGUAUUCAUAUUCCCUAACUUAAUCCCUAUGGCCUUCUUGUUCUUGUUAUUUGAUUUAGAUCCAUGAAUCCUUCAUCUGUAUGUACUUUAGGUGUACUGUAUACACAAUUCAUUAUCUUGAGUAUUUUUUUUAUUAAGGCUAUCUUGAGUGAUUCUGUGUUUGUUGCCAACAUAUGUUUUCUAUAAGAUAAGGUUCCAGAAGUAGCGUGGUGAAAAGUUUGAGCUAUAUGAUUGAUAUAUCUUAGAUGACGUGCAUUGCUGAUAACAAUGCACUUACGUAUUUGCUACGAUACAGAUGAAACAUGUGCAGCUGUGAGCCUGUGAUCACAUUAGAAUUUUUAAAUUUUAACCAUCAAAUAUUUACUACACAGCAUGGAGAUCUCAGAGUCUGGAGUCUGGAUGGAGUUGGAGCCUUGGAGGCCUGUUGCAGAAUGCAGUUGCAGUGGGUGGCGUGGUGCUUGGAGCUCCGGAUGGCUCAACAUUUCUUUUGUUCUCAUCUGAAGCAUAUGCACUGGUGACUGGUGUGAUGGCAUGCAGCAGCCAGCAGGAUUCAACUUUUUUUAUUUGCUCUUAUCUUAUCACUUAUCAGUACUAAGUAGUCAUUAAGACAGUAAGACUGUGUCUGUGUCGUGGUUCACUAGUUCUGGUGUGGUACUGGUUAAAAACGUUAAUGCGUUCUGCUUAUCAUUUGUUGUUUAAUAUCAUUAAGUUUUUCAAUUCGUAUGCAUGUUUGAGUACAUUACAUAUUUUCGGGUACAUCAGGUAAACCGAACCCGAACUUGCGGGUACCCGAACAAUCGGGUUUUUUUUUCAGGGGCCUUAUCAGGUAACGAAUCUCAUUACCCGAACUCUCCAAAAACCCGAAUAACCCGACCCGAAGUUUUCGGGUAACCCGAACGCCCAGACUGACGGGCAAUCAUGUUCCGAGCAGUCAUGCCUUGGUUCGCUCCUUUGGGCUAACGGACCUUGGUGGUUUGUGUGGCCAUGGUAGAGCCACGACGAGCACCACGACCCCCUUCACAAAUGGUCGGUGUUGACCAAGGCAGAGGCGACGCAAGCGUCGAAGGCUUCGCGGGCAGGCGGCUGAGUAUGUGCAGACAGCACCGACCUCCACCUCGAUUGCUUCUGAAGCUCUGCCUAGGGGCAUCGCCUAGCCCGACGACAUCGCGACUGCAACAGGUGUUGCCACCAGGGCUGGCCAAGCGCCGCAUGGAUCCUCGGUGGUGGUGCCUGUGCUGUGCCUUCCUGAGCCCGACCCACUUGCGGAGGCGAUGUAUGUGGGCGAUGGUCCUCCUGCUUUGGUCCUCUCCUUUGACCUGAUGCUGGAGGAGCUCCUAGCCGCCGCAUUCAUCGUGAGCUGCUCGGUUGUGGUGGCUGCCUCCCCAGGGUCUGCGGAGUCGACUACGGUGGUGGCUGUCUCCUCACAUCAGCCAUCGGCGCAGGAGCUGGUGCAGCUCAUGCCUCCUCGAGUGGGUCAGACCGAUGUCGAGAUUGGCAACGACACGCCCACACAACGUGAGGCCGCCCAGCGCCUCACAUGGUUUCUUGAUGAGGUACGGGUCGUACGGGAGCCGCCACUAGUUUCCUCCUCAACACGGCAGAGGGCGAGAUCCAGGAGCCCCCUACCUAUCGGAUCGGUGCCCAACCGUUGGCACACAUACCGGCCUCCCGACAAGGUGAGGUACUCCUCAUGCAACGGAUGGGGAUCGCGCCGCCGGCCGCUCCGAUUUCAUCUGCGCCAAAGGGAUUACUCGACACCUUGCGUUCCGAAACUUUGUCUUUGGGCCAUGUGGAGGCCCUUGACAUGUUGUUUCCCACAUUCGACUGGCGUGCACGGGAGCUCUUCAGGGAAGACUGGUAGGACGCGCAUGUGUUCGCACAAUGGUUGUCCCAUUUUGCAAUAUCGGAUUAGGGUUCAGUCUGCUAGGUUGGUUCAGUUGCUAGACCACCUAGCACGCUAUAUGCGCGUUGUCUGUACUGCAAACUCUUUUCUUCUUAAUAGCAAUGAUACGCAAAUCUUUUGCGUAUUCAAGAAAAAAAAAGCUUUAGUUAAUGUUCAGAGCAUUUGCUUAGGCAGGGCAGGGAGUGAACAGAUAUAAGGUCCACAUUAUCAAAAACGAAAUCAAUAAUAGUGCCCAGACUAUAAACAAUGUCAACAAUAUUAUAUUACAGCCUCACUGGGAUACAAGCCUUUAAAUUUGAAACAAUUGUCCAAAAAGUUUGUCGAUAACUUAGCCCUCGUGCUUUGCUAUUUGAUUCAUGAUUUGUUGACUAUUGUGGGAUGUGCUCCAUGAAAAUGGUUCUCAGAUUACAAAGCUCCCCCACAUGAAAAUGGUUCUCAGAGUACAAAGCUCCCCCACAAUCAUGAUUUAUUUAUGGGCUUCUUGUUUGGCUAUUGUUUUAUUCAAAAUUUUUGUAAUAUUAUUUAUUUCAUUAUGACUUAUUUUAUUAUUAGAGAUACUUUAAUAAUAAUUUAUUUAUUUUAUUAUUUACAAAAAAAUUAAUAAGACAAAAAAAAGAAGUUUCCAAGUAAAAAUCAUUGCUUAUUUUAGGGCGAAGGGAUUAUGUAGAUUAUCCACUGUCUGUCGGCGGCCACCUGCCAUAUAUUAUGACAUAUUUUGUGCAGCAUGCAACCUACUUCCUACAUCCUGAAAUAGAUGAUGUAUUUUUAUUUAUCCUAAUAAGUCAAGACAUCAUCCAUCUUAUAUUUUGACCAAGUUAAAGGAAAGAACAAUAUUAUUUUUGACAUCAUAUAAGCUCCACUAGAAACAUUACCAAAGAUAUUUUUAUAAUAUCUUAUUUUGUUGCUGUGGCAAAAGUGAACCAUGUAUUUUUCUAUAAUUUCAAUCAAAUAUAUAUAAGGUAGGUUUAUUUAGAAUAAAUAAAAAUACUCAAUAUUCAAGGGCGGAAAGAGUAGUCAUCAUAAAUCGAAUGGGGAGUGGGGAUCGACAAUCCAGCAACAGCAGCAGGUGUGUAGGUAUACAGAUCACAGACGAGAAGGAGGCCUAGUGCUAGUGGACUACAUUAGCAGUGGCGUCACGCAGCAGAUAGUUGGCGCGGGAGGAGAGACCAAGACCAAGGAACUCGGCUUUGAAGAUGCGGUCGUCGUCUUCCUCGAGCCCCGCCGCGAGGCACGGCCGCACAACGAUCGCCCCUGAGAAUCCAGAGCCGCGUGCCAUCCCCAGGGCGCGUGGCGAUGCAGAGAGCAGGUCCGAGCAUACCCUUCCGAACGCGGUCCACCGGAAGCGGAAGGACCAGGGACGCCGGCAAAGCCCAAGUCCGCGUCCGUCGGGAACGACGACGACCACAUCGUCUGCACCACCGUCGUGCAAGACAACUGUGCAUAGUAUGACAAAAGUGAAGAAAAUGAAGGGUCAUACAGAAUAUAUUUUUCUAAACAAAUUAUAAAUGGGUAUAUAUAUACAUCAUGUUCAACAUAAACAGGACAUACUUUUUAAAAUGUGUUUGUUACCUUUUCUAGAAGUAGAGCCAAUCAUUUUUUUUUUCUGAGAUCGAAGUGCCAUGGAAAGACUGAAACUAACCUAAGAGUGCAAACCAUUGACUAGAAAAAAAGUCACACAACAGCAUCCAUGUUUCAGUAAAUCUUCCGAGAUUCAGAACGACAAGGCUGGAGUACGCUAAAGAUAUUCACCUGAUCGGAAACAUAUAUAGGCUUAUUGUUAGACGGAAAACCAAAGGCAUUAAUAAGGGAAAAAAUGUAUAACUAACCAGAACAAUGAUCAAAAAGCAGUAAACAACAUGCCGAACUUGUAAAUAGUUGUAUGAGACUACAGAUGUGAUUUACAGGCACUUACCAGUUUGAUGUACAGGGUGGAAGGCACGUGGAGAGAUUCAUGCUUUAGAAUUCAAAAUUGUGAAUAGAUAGAGAGAGAACCCAGAGGACAGAAUAAUACACAAAUAUGAAGAAAUGUCCUGCACAGCAGAUGGAAACAAACCGGUUACCUAGAAGAAAACAUAAAUUGUGAUCAAAUAAACGAGACAAGAAUGACUGAGGUUUAUGGGAUUAGGGAGAAGCAGGGAAAUUGGUGGGUUGGAAAUUCCACCUCUUUUUACCUUGGGUUUGUCAGGCAUUGACUAUUGGAAUGAUAUUUAUCAACUUGCGGCACUGCCUCCUUAGCUCCUCACUUCUGCUGUCACUGACAUAUAAUUCUCGCAGUGAACUUGGAAGGUCAUCCACCUCGGGCAGCGACCGUAUUGCUGGACAGUCUCUGAUCACUAACUUUCGCAGUGAAUCUGGGAGGCAAUCCUUGGGCAGUGACUGGAGUUCUGGACAACUCAUGAUAUACAAUUCUUCAAGUGAACUUGGGAGAUCAUCCUUGGGCAGCAUCUGGAUUGCUUUGGACGACCAGAUUUGUAACCUCUUGAGGUUGUGAAGUGUAUGUAGCCGUUCAGGGAGGGACUGCAGGUUACUGCUGCCAAAAAAUAUGAUACACUCAAGGGAGUCAACAAACAGAAGGGCCUCUUGCUGCUCUGUGAAGCGCCCCAACCUAUGAUCAUAUUGAAUUUUCAAUUUGGUGAGCGAGGAAAAGAUCAGGCUACGAUGAAUGGCCGCAGUAGUGAAUCCAGUCACAUUAUCUAUUUCGAGCUCCUGCAGUUUGGAGGAACAGGAUGGAAUCUCCUGUUCAUGCACCUGUGAGGGAUCGGAAUCAACAAAGAAAUUGGGCCUUUCCAUGACAGAUAAUUUGGUGAGAUGGCCUUGGGCGAGGAGAGACAACCAUCCCUCGCCUCUUAAAUCCCCACAGCUGGAUAUGUCUAAACUUGUGAGAGAGGUGAGGUUUGAUAGAGGCACUGAUGCCCGUGUGCCCACUGCUCCGUCAAUAGAAAGGUGUUCCAGGGAGUUGGGGAAGGGGAAAGAAGAAGAGAAGGAUGAAUAAGACGAGUAGGCGGACAGGAGCUUGGGGCAAUUGUUGAUUCGCAGCUGUCGGAGGGAGGUUAGACCUUGGAGCCCUCCUCCUCUUCCCCCAGUUCCUCCAUCUUC